UAAAGGACCUUAGCGUUCUCUGGUGCUGG
rnacentral:sRNA from 1 species